GGCGGAUGUAGCCAAGUAGAUCAAGGCAGUGGAUUGUGAAUCCACCAUGCGCG
rnacentral:tRNA from 1 species